rnacentral:misc_RNA from 1 species
AGACUGCAAAGAGGUCUAAUUUAGAAACUACUGCUCUGCCAUUCACUUCAAAUCAUGAAAACAAAAAGGACAAAAGGAAGGAGAUUGAUGAGCCAUUCCUUUCCCUGACUCCUCCUACAGCUAUGAAGGAUAAAGGGAAAGCAAUUGCUGAGCCUUUCAGUAGCUUAUCCCCUGAGACUAGGCAAGAUAAGGGGAAAAGAGCAGUCGUUCUGUCUACCCCAGUUUCAG